GUGAGUCAAAAGGACGAAUCGCUCAAAGUCGAAGCUACUGAAACACACAUCUGUGUCGUAGCAAACUCUUUCCUAGAUUAUUUUGACAUGGUCUCAGAGCAUCCGGUUUUUCCUCGAAAACAAUUUAUUAGCUUCGUUUUUAUAUCAUUUCUAAUAUUUCGUCUUUGUAUUCCACCGCAAACUAGCAAUGUCGAAGGUGAUCCUUGAUCCAAACGAGGUCAAGCUCGCGGGCUCCACCAACUUCCACCUAAGGAAAUACAUGAUAACUCGCAUCGUCAAACUCAAAAAGCUUUGG
rnacentral:lncRNA from 1 species